CCACUAUUUAAGAAACACUGGAAUAACCCAACGCCCCGAUGUCGUGAUGCAAAUCGAAGUCAUUUCCGGGUGUUACUUUCCAAACAUCAGUAAAAUGUCAUAAUAUAAUAUUUAAAAUAAUAAAAUAAGAAUAAAUUAAUAAAAAAUAAAUGCCCGAUGAACGUGUGGUAGCUCAAUGCUAACAUAUAAUGGGACGCCACAGACAGGCUAAUCUAAAUUAGCAUCAAUGUUAGGGGAAGAAAAUGGCUCAUCUUCAAACAACUGCUACUUAACACACAUGCAACUUCAACACAGCAUACAGCCUAACUCUAAGUCAGAGACUUCAGCCAAGGCCAUCCAACCAUUUUCUAUAGCACUUGUGCUCAUUGAGGUCACAGGGCAGCUGGAGCUGACUUUGGGCGAGAGGAAUGGUACAUCCUGGACUGAUUGCCAACUACUCACAUGUAAUUUUUGUGCCACUCAAUUUUCAUGCUGACCUUGUCGAAUUGAACGGUUUCAACCAUACCACGUGUGUCAUCUCUUUGGCAGUUGCCUGCUAACGCCCUCGAUUGCAAUGUUCAAAACAUCAAGAAAAAUGUAUAUAAUUUUUGGCUUUGUACCCAAAAUCAAUUAGAUUCUCAUUUCCUGUUGUCAAACACAACAAAACCAAUGUUUCAAUGCAAGUAACUGAGUAACCACAAUUGCUGUAAAGUAUGCCUUGAAAUGCUUACAAGGACAAAUUAGGGAUUGUAAUGAGUGACUGCUGCGCUGUGCUCAGCCCCCAAAAGUGACUAAACUAAUAGCGAGUCCAAAAAAAAAAAAUCGAAAGAGGUUUGCAUAGCUCACGCUCUACAGUGCAGAACAUUAAGGGAUGUAUCAAGAAAUAUGAGGUGUUGCACGAAAAGGCAAGGGAGCUCCUCAAAGUUGGACACCACUGAUCAACAACUGAAUCGCCCGAAAAAAAACAUGAUGCUUAAGUCAUACUCUCCACGAUGAAACUAUUUUCUUCAGGUGGCUGAAUAUGCAGAAAAAUAAACAUAAAAGAAACUCA